rnacentral:rRNA from 1 species
GAGAAUCCCGUCCAUGGCACGGAUGACCAGCGCUUUUGUGAUACACUCUCAACGAGUCGAGUUGUUUGGGAUUGCAGCUCAAAAUGGGUGGUAAAUUCCAUCUAAAGCUAAAUACGGGCGAAAGACCGAUAGCGAACAAGUACCGUGAGGGAAAGAUGAAAAGCACUUUGGAAAGAGAGUUAAACAGGACGUGAAAUUGUUGAAAGGGAAACGCUUAAAGUCAGUCGCGUCUUCAGAAACUCAGCCCGGCCCGUGCGGCCAGGUGUACUUUUCUGUCCAAGACGGGCCAGCGUCAGUUCCGGCCACCAGAAAAAGGAGAGAGGAAAGUGGCACUCCCCCCCCCGGG